UGACCUCGGAUCAGGUAGGGAUACCCGCUGAACUUAAGCAUAUCAAUAAGACGGAGGAA
rnacentral:rRNA from 1 species